rnacentral:rRNA from 1 species
CCAACAGGGAUUGCCCCAGUAACGGCGAGUGAAGCGGCAAGAGCUCAAAUUUGAAAGCUGGCUCCUUCGGGGUCCGCAUUGUAAUUUGCAGAGGAUGCUUCGGGAGCGGUCCCCAUCUAAGUGCCCUGGAACGGGACGUCAUAGAGGGUGAGAAUCCCGUAUGGGAUGGGGUGUCCGCGCCCGUGUGAAGCUCCUUCGACGAGUCGAGUUGUUUGGGAAUGCAGCUCUAAAUGGGUGGUAAAUUUCAUCUAAAGCUAAAUAUUGGCCGGAGACCGAUAGCGCACAAGUAGAGUGAUCGAAAGAUGAAAAGCACUUUGAAAAGAGAGUUAAAAAGCACGUGAAAUUGUUGAAAGGGAAGCGCUUGCGACCAGACUCGCUCGCGGGGUUCAGCCGGCAUUCGUGCCGGUGUAUUUCCCCGCGGGCGGGCCAGCGUCGGUUUGGGCGGUCGGUCAAAGGCCCUCGGAAGGUAACGCCCCUAGGGGCGUCUUAUAGCCGAGGGUGCAAUGCGACCUGCCUAGACCGAGGAACGCGCUUCGGCUCGGACGCUGGCAUAAUGGUCGUAAGCGGCCC